AUUGAACGCUGGCGGUAGGCCUAACUCAUGCAAGUCGAACGAGUGGCGGACGGGUGAAUAAUGUCUGGGAAACUGCCCGAUGGAGGGCGAUAACUACCGGAAACGGUAGCUAAUACCGCAUACCAUCGGAUGUGCCCAGAUGGGAUUAGCUAGUAGGUGGGGUAACGGCUCACCUAGGCCACGAUCCCUAGCUGGUCUGAGAGGAUGAACAGCCACACUGGAACUGAUACACGGUCCAACCUCCGACGGGAGGCAGCAGUGGCGAAUAUUGCACAAUUGGCGUAAGCCUGAUGCAGCCAUGCCGCGUAUAUGAAGAAUGCCUUCGUGUUGUAAAGUACUUUCAGCGAAUAGGCGUAGCGCGCAGAAGUAGCACCGGCUAACUCCGUGCCAGCAGCCGCGGUAAUUC
rnacentral:rRNA from 1 species